rnacentral:rRNA from 1 species
UACGUAGGGUGCGAGCGUUAAUCGGAAUUACUGGGCGUAAAGCGUGCGCAGGCGGCGCGUUAAGACAGGUGUGAAAGCCCCGAGCUUAACUUGGGAAUUGCGCUUGUGACUGGCGUGCUGGAGUGUGGCAGAGGGAGGUGGAAUUCCACGUGUAGCAGUGAAAUGCGUAGAUAUCGGGAGGAACACCAAUGGCGAAGGCAGCUCGCUGGGACGUUACUGACGCUGAGACGCGAAAGCGUGGGGAGCAAACAGG